UUGCUCAAUUGUGUUACAACAUCGGUUGAGUUCAGGCGUGUGAGCAUAGCUAAGACUAAAUAAACAACUUUCGAAUAUUUUAAAUACCAGUAGGUCUAUUUAUCAAUUAACUAACGUUUCCAGAAGUAUUUUUCAUUUUAUAGACGAAAAAUGAAGAAAAUUGCUGACUCUAUUAAAAAAUCUGUGCUUCAAUGGUUGAAUGAAGGGCUCUCAUAUCGGCAAGUUGCAAAUUUAGCUGAAAUUUCAUUUGGACGAACUAUCAACCGUCUGGUGGCCUCGGGAGCAGUAAAAUCAGGUACUGAGAUUCAAAAAGAACUGGAGAGGACUUACGGAAAACAAGUUUCCCGCAUGACUGUACACCGCGAGUUGAAAAAACUAGGGUUUAGAGCCAGGCGCAAAAUUAAAAAACCUUUGCUUACUAAACGUCAUCAAGAACUACGUCUAAAAUUUGCUAAAGCGCACCGAAACUGGACUCCAGAACAGUGGGCGAAUGUAUUUUGGACAGACGAAAGCAAGAUUAACCUUCACGGGUCAGACGGAAUACAUUACGUUUGGAAGAAGUCAUCAAAGACUAUUACCAGCCGCGAUGUCAUCCCAACACUCAAAUUUGGGGGCGGAAAAGUCCUCUUUUGGGGUGGCUUUUGUAAAAGUGGUGUUGGGGACCUAAUUUUAAUCGAGGGAAAUAUGGACGCGAAUAUGUAUAUAGAUAUAUUAAGGCAAGGGUAUUUUUCUUCGUUGGAGAAAUUGGGUCUGGACAGUAGCAAAAUCGUUCUGAUGCAAGACAACGACCCCAAGCACAAAGCUAAGAAGACUAUGGAGUAUCUUAAAAGUCAACGAAUUGAAACUUUGGAAUGGCCCCCUCAAAGUCCCGAUAUUAAUCCUAUCGAGAACCUGUGGUUUGUUUUAAAAAAAGGGUAUACAAUUAUGCCAGUCCACCGAAAACAAAGGCGGAAUUAUUUACUAGAUGUGUAGAAGUAUGGAACUCCAUCACUAAAAAAGAAUGUGAAGAUUUAGUCAAUAGCGUUCCCAAGCGUAUUGAAGCGGUGAUAGCGGCCAAAGGAGGCUAUACUAAAUAUUAAAGCGGUAAAAAUUACAUUGUAUCAAAAUUGAGCAAGUGCCAUACAAGAGAAAUUAUAUUUUCUUCUUAUAAAACCUGAAUAAAUUUGUUACUCUUUUGUUGUUUUAUAUUAUAGACGAACUGAAGAAUGUAUUAAAAAAAACUGUAAUUCAAUUCGCCCAAAUUAAAUACACAUUUUUUGUAAGAAUCGA